rnacentral:rRNA from 1 species
UACGUAGGUGACAAGCGUUGUCCGGAUUUACUGGGCGUAAAGAGCGCGCAGGCGGUCGUUCAAGUCGAGUGUGAAAGCCCACGGCUCAACCGUGGAGGGUCAUUGGAAACUGGGGGACUUGAGUGCAGAAGAGGAAAGCGGAAUUCCACGUGUAGCGGUGAAAUGCGUAGAGAUGUGGAGGAACACCAGUGGCGAAGGCGGCUUUCUGGUCUGUAACUGACGCUGAGGCGCGAAAGCGUGGGGAGCAAACAGG